rnacentral:rRNA from 1 species
UACGGAGGGUGCAAGCGUUAAUCGGAAUUACUGGGCGUAAAGCGCGCGUAGGCGGUUUUUUAAGUCGGAUGUGAAAGCCCCGGGCUCAACCNGGGAACUGCAUCCGAUACUGGAAGANUAGAAUGCGGGAGAGGGAGGNAGAAUUCCAUGUGUANCAGUGAAAUGCGUAGAUAUAUGGAGGAAUACCAGUGGCGAAGGCGGCCUCCUGGCUCGACAUUGACGCUGAGGUGCGAAAGCGUGGGGAGCAAACUCC